rnacentral:lncRNA from 1 species
AACCACAAAAGUUGACUCUGAUGACUUUUUAUUGUAGUUUUUUUUUUUUUAAUUAAACAUUCAUACAUUUAAAAAAUUUCCCACUUGUACAUACAUUUUCCAUAUUUAUUUUAAAUUAAUAUUCUUCUUUAUCAAUUACUGUUCUUAAUUAAAUUUAACCAAACAAAAUUAUUUUGUUUUGAAAUUCAAAUUAUAAACAAUUUAAAAAAAAAUGAUUUGCGCGACGCAAUAAUUCUUCUUCACUAUUAAGUAGAGUGACGAUAGAGUUAAAUCUUACCAUAAAGAAACCUUUGUCCUUAAAACUUUAUGCGACAAAUGAUCUCUUCAUCACUCUAUUCUUGCUGCACGAACCUUUUGUCCCUUAAAACUUUAUGCACAAAACCCUUUGUCCCUCUAAUCUUCAUGUGGCGAGUUUAGUUUCAUCGCGCCCACAGGUAUAUGCGACGAAUUGUCUUCGCCCUAUUAAUUUGAAGUGAUGACAUAGUUUUUUGUUGCGUAUAACUAUUUGCACGACGAAGUGAUUUCUUUUCGUCGUGCAAUACCUUUCUUUACGAGCCUUGCGCAGAACAAAGAAACCACUAAAAAAUUAAAGUUAGAUAAAGAAAACCAACUUAGGGUGACGAAGUUUUCGUCAUUUAUAAUUUUAAGCGGCAAAUUUCUUAUUUACGCGACGAUUUCUUGUUCGUCACAAUAACUGUUCGAUGUAGUUGUGGAUCCCAUCAUCUCAUUCUAAACUAACACCAUCUUAUCCUCUUGCCAAUUUUCUUUUUCACUGACUUCUCCUUGUUCCUUACUUAUUUCCCAAAUAGUUUUCUCAAUUUCAGGUUCAAACUCAAGUAGUACGCAAUCCGACAAACGCAUUCUAAGCAUUCACUUUCAAGAAACAAUUAAAAAGAGUGAGAAUGCACCAAAAGAAUUUAAACAAAAAAAAUGAAAAUAAAAGAAAAUAAAAAUAUCACAAAAGUAAAUUCAAUUAAAGGUAAACUAAUGAAAAGGGCUUCAAAUCUUUACAUUUUAAUCAAAAACCACCCACUAACUUUAUUUUAAUAAUAAGGACAAAAGACUAAAAAAAAAAAAACAUAACAAACCCACUAG